rnacentral:rRNA from 1 species
GACGAACGCUGGCGGCGUGCCUAAUACAUGCAAGUUGAGCGCUGAAGGUUGGUACUUGUACCAACUGGAUGAGCAGCGAACGGGUGAGUAACGCGUGGGGAAUCUGCCUUUGAGCGGGGGACAACAUUUGGAAACGAAUGCUAAUACCGCAUAAAAACUUUAAACACAAGUUUUAAGUUUGAAAGAUGCAAUUGCAUCACUCAAAGAUGAUCCCACGUUGUAUUAGCUAGUUGGUGAGGUAAAGGCUCACCAAGGCGAUGAUACAUAGCCGACCUGGGAGGGUGAUCGGCCACAUUGGGACUGAGACACGGCCCAAACUCCUACGGGAGGCAGCAGUAGGGAAUCUUCGGCAAUGGACGAAAGUCUGACCGAGCAACGCCGCGUGAGUGAAGAAGGUUUUCGGAUCGUAAAACUCUGUUGGUAGAGAAGAACGUUGGUGAGAGUGGAAAGCUCAUCAAGUGACGGUAACUACCCAGAAAGGGACGGCUAACUACGUG